CAAUAGCGUAUAUUUAAGUUGUUGCAGUUAAAAAGCUCGUAGUUGGAUUUCGGUUAAGAGCGACCGGUCCGCCGUUUGGUGUGCACUGGUUGGUUUUAACUUCCUGUAGAGGACGUGCUCUGGGUUUAACGACCUGGACUCGGAGUCUACGUGGUUACUUUGAAAAAAUUAGAGUGUUCAAAGCGGGCUUACGCUUGAAUAUUUCAGCAUGGAAUAACACUAUAGGACUCCUGUCCUAUUUCGUUGGUCUCGGGACGGGAGUAAUAAUUAAGAGGAACAGUUGGGGGCAUUCGUAUUUCAUUGUCAGAGGUGAAAUUCUUGGAUUUAUGAAAGACGAACUUCUGCGAAAGCAUUUGCCAAGGAUGUUUUCAUUAA
rnacentral:rRNA from 1 species